rnacentral:tRNA from 1 species
GCUUUUAUAGUUUAACUUAAAAACAUUACACUGAAAAUGUAAAAAUAAUAAUUUAAAAGCA